rfam:Prevotella baroniae F0067 contig00020, whole genome shotgun sequence.
GGUUGUGUCGGUUCGAUCGGGAUACUCAUCAAAUAAUAUUGAAAACCGAGAAAGCUUCUUACGUCUAUGGCGGGCCGCAUAAACUCUUCGGAGGUAAGUCGAUGAAAGUCGACCGGUGGAUUACAGAAACUGAGAGCUCUCAAGAAUUGUAUUGCUCGGAGUUUCAUCACAUCACCGAACAACCCCUUUC